GACGAACGCUGGCGGCGUGCUUAACACAUGCAAGUCGAGCGGUAAGGCCCUUUCGGGGGUACACGAGCGGCGAACGGGUGAGUAACACGUGGGUGACCUGCCCUCAGCUCUGGGAUAAGCCUGGGAAACCGGGUCUAAUACUGGAUAUGACUCCAUGACGCAUGUUGUGGGGUGGAAAGCCUUGUGCGGCUGAGGAUGGGCCCGCGGCCUAUCAGCUUGUUGGUGGGGUGAGGGCCUACCAAGGCGACGACGGGUAGCCGGCCUGAGAGGGCGACCGGCCACACUGGGACUGAGACACGGCCCAGACUCCUACGGGAGGCAGCAGUGGGGAAUCUUGCGCAAUGGGCGAAAGCCUGACGCAGCGACGCCGCGUGAGGGAUGACGGCCUGGUGUAA
rnacentral:rRNA from 1 species